rnacentral:rRNA from 1 species
AUUGAACGCUGGCGGCAUGCCUUACACAUGCAAGUCGAACGGCAGCGCGGACUUCGGUCUGGCGGCGAGUGGCGAACGGGUGAGUAAUACAUCGGAACGUACCCUGUUGUGGGGGAUAACUAGUCGAAAGAUUAGCUAAUACCGCAUACGACCUGAGGGUGAAAGUGGGGGACCGCAAGGCCUCACGCAGCGGGAGCGGCCGAUGUCUGAUUAGCUAGUUGGUGGGGUAAAGGCCCACCAAGGCGACGAUCAGUAGCUGGUCUGAGAGGACGAUCAGCCACACUGGGACUGAGACACGGCCCAGACUCCUACGGGAGGCAGCAGUGGGGAAUUUUGGACAAUGGGGGCAACCCUGAUCCAGCAAUGCCGCGUGUGUGAAGAAGGCCUUCGGGUUGUAAAGCACUUUUGUCCGGAAAGAAAUCGCGCUGGUUAAUACCUGGCGUGGAUGACGGUACCGGAAGAAUAAGCGCCGGCUAACUACGUGCCAGCCGCCGCAGUAA